UGAGGAAUAUUGGGCAAUGCCCGCAAGGGUGACCCAGCAACGCCGCGUGGAGGAUGAAUGUCGUAAGAUUGUAAACUCCUGUUAGAGGGGAAGAAUAGUACCGGUUGGACCGGUAUAUGACUGUACCCUCAGAGAAAGCCCCGGCUAACUACGUGCCAGCAGCCGCGGUAAUACGUAGGGGGCAAGCGUUGUCCGGAUUUACUGGGGGUAAAGGGCGCGCAGGCGGGAUAAAAAGUCAGUGGUGAAAGCCUACAGCUUAACUGUAGAACUGCCUUUGAUACUUGUAUUCUUGAGUGCGGGAGAGAGAGACGGAAUUCCAGGUGUAGUGGUGAAAUACGUAGAUAUCUGGAAGAACACCAGUUGCGAAGGCGGUCUCUUGGUCCGACACUGACGCUGAGGCGCGAAAGCGUGGGGAGCAAACA
rnacentral:rRNA from 1 species